rnacentral:rRNA from 1 species
AUUGAACGCUGGCGGCAUGCCUUACACAUGCAAGUCGAACGGCAGCACGGGUGCUUGCACCUGGUGGCGAGUGGCGAACGGGUGAGUAAUACAUCGGAACAUGUCCUGUAGUGGGGGAUAGCCCGGCGAAAGCCGGAUUAAUACCGCAUACGAUCCACGGAUGAAAGCGGGGACCUUCGGGCCUCGCGCUAUAGGGUUGGCCGAUGGCUGAUUAGCUAGUUGGUGGGGUAAAGGCCUACCAAGGCGACGAUCAGUAGCUGGUCUGAGAGGACGACCAGCCACACUGGGGCUGAGACACGGCCCAGACUCCUACGGGAGGCAGCAGUGGGGAAUUUUGGACAAUGGGCGAAAGCCUGAUCCAGCAAUGCCGCGUGUGUGAAGAAGGACUUCGGGUUGUAAAGCACUUUUGUCCGGAAAGAAAUCCUUGACUCUAAUACAGUCGGGGGAUGACGGUACCGGAAGAAUAAGCACCGGCUAACUACGUG